UUCCCUCCCUCUCUCCAUCUACCCCAAAAUCUUCCCACCGUUCGGAGCUCCGUCGUUCUUCCGGUUCCGGCGACCAGUUUCGCACGAGCCCGCCACCGUUCCGAGCUCCAUCGUUCUUUCGGUUCCAGCGACCAAUUUCGCACGAGCCUGCCACCGUUCCGAGCUCCGUCAUUCUUCCGGUUCCGACGAGGUCCCCCACCGUCUACUUCCAUCUCCAUUUCCAUCUCCGGCCACUAGGUACUGCCAGGCACCAUCACCGUCGUUCUCCAUCUUCGGCUAAAGCCCACCCACCGGCCGUCUUCCAGUUCCGGCCCUCUUCCAUCUUCGGCCAUUUUCCAGUUCUGGCUUCCCCCCAAAUCCGUCUCCUUCAAAAACUUUUAAAUGGAUUUAUCACAAUUAGACUUGAUUUCACAACACGAAGAUGAUUGUUCAUUGACAUAUAUUGAACUUGAUGAUGUUGUGCCCAUCGAAAUGGACCCUCAAAAUGGCACAAGUAAAUGUCUACAACAAGUGAUUUGUCAAGCGGUCAUCCGUUAUGUAAGUGUGGAAUUCCUGCACGUCUAAGGAACUCUUGGACCACAUCCAAUACCGCUAAAAAGUGGUAUGGAUGUAAUAACUACAAGAAAGCCGAUGAUUGUGAUUUUUUUGAAAGAAAUGGAAGAGAAAGUUGAGGAAUUGUUUGAAAAAAAAUGUAAGGAGCAAUUAGCG